rnacentral:rRNA from 1 species
UACAGAGGGGGCAAGCGUUGUUCGGAAUUACUGGGCGUAAAGGGCGCGUAGGCGGCCUUCUAAGCCGAACGUGAAAUCCCCGGGCUCAACCCGGGAACUGCGUCCGAUACUGGAAGGCUUGGAUCCGGGAGAGGGAUGCGGAAUUCCAGGUGUAGCGGUGAAAUGCGUAGAUAUCUGGAGGAACACCGGUGGCGAAGGCGGCAUCCUGGACCGGCAUUGACGCUGAGGCGCGAAAGCCAGGGGAGCAAACGGG